UACGUAGGGGGCAAGCGUUGUCCGGAAUUAUUGGGCGUAAAGAGCUCGUAGGCGGUCUGUCGCGUCUGCCGUGAAAACCCGAGGCUUAACCUCGGGCCUGCGGUGGAUACGGGCAGACUAGAGGUAGGUAGGGGAGAAUGGAAUUCCCGGUGUAGCGGUGAAAUGCGCAGAUAUCAGGAGGAACACCGGUGGCGAAGGCGGUUCUCUGGGCAUUACCUGACGCUGAGGAGCGAAAGUGUGGGGAGCGAACAGG
rnacentral:rRNA from 1 species